rnacentral:misc_RNA from 1 species
UCCGGUUUGGCACCGGCAGUCUCCCUAGAGUUCCCGGCAUUACCCGCUGGCAACUAAGGACAGGGGUUGCGCUCGUUGCGCCACUUAAGGCAACACCUCACGGCACGAGCUGACGACAGCCAUGCACCACCUGUGCGGGCUCCGAGGAGCGCCGUAUUUCUACGGUUUCACCCCGCAUGUCAAGCCCAGGUAAGGUGGGGAUGACGUCAAGGUACGGAC